GCAGAAGGGCCACAGCUCAGUGGCAGAGCAUCUGCUUUGCAUGCAGAAGGUCCCAAGUUCUAUCCCUGGCAUGCUGCA
rnacentral:tRNA from 1 species